rnacentral:lncRNA from 1 species
AGAUUGUUUCUUUCUGCUACUGCUUCUUUCUCUGUUGGGAAAGGACACUGAAGCUAAAUCCAUUAGCCCUAGAAUUUACCCAGUAGCAUGCCCUGACUACAAAAGGAAGGCUGCCCCUGGCAUUCACACUCAGAAUCGGGAGUUUCUUUCCAUAUGACACCCACAGUGCAGAAUAUGGGACCCUGGGUUUCUCCAGAGCUGAGGCCACAAUAGAUAAGUUGCUUCCUGGAUCCUCUGGGCCUCAGAAAAUAAGGCCAUAAUACAAUAUGUGAUGAUAUAGAAGACACUGAAAAUGAUUGUUCAAUUGUUGAAUUGCCAGAGAUGAAGAGGACUUGAAAAAUCAGGAACAUAAUAGCACCUACUUCAUUGGGUUGUUAUUAG